rnacentral:rRNA from 1 species
UACCAGCACCCCGAGUGGUCGGGACGUUUAUUGGGCCUAAAGCAUCCGUAGCCGGUUCUACAAGUCUUCCGUUAAAUCCAGCUGCUUAACAGAUGGGCUGCGGAAGAUACUAUGGAGCUAGGAGGCGGGAGAGGCAAGCGGUACUCGAUGGGUAGGGGUAAAAUCCGUUGAUCCAUUGAAGACCACCAGUGGCGAAGGCGGCUUGCCAGAACGCGCUCGACGGUGAGGGAUGAAAGCUGGGGGGGCAAACCGG